CAUUUGGCCUGCUAUGUGGAGAGUAGAUUGAACGGAUCCAGCAAAAAGAGGGAAAUGAGCCAGGAGCCCAUUUUAUUCACCAGGUGAGCAUUGUCCAAUUGUCCAAUCCCUGGAAGGCCUAAAUAGAAAAAAAAAGCAGAGGAAGAUUGAAUUCUCUCUCUCUGACUGAGACCUCUCUCUUGAGCUGAGACAUCGGUCUCCUCCUGCCCUUGAAGCGGGACUUACAUCGUCAGCACUCCUGGUUCUCAGGACUUUGGACUUGGAUUGGAAUUUACAUCACUUUCUUUCCUGGGUCUCCAUCUUGCAGACGGCAAAGGACAAUUACCAGAGGUACCAGUGUCCAGUCAGUAGCAUCACAGGCAUCAAGAGGACUGAGUGAGACAUCUGUUUUGAUCCUGACCAUCAUGGCAUGGUUCUGAAGCUGAUAGCAGCAGUAGCAGCUUCUCAGUCAUGAAAGGGGUUUUCUAAUUACAGGCGUGGUGUGUGGAUUGACAGAAAACAGCUCCAAGGAUAGCUUCUCAAUUCAACAGGUGGCUUCCUGAUCGUAGAAGAGGUGGUUCCUUUGGUGGCUCAUUCUCUGUGGUGGCCUUGGAAGUCUUUCCUGAGAAGCACAAUCGUGAUUCUGUUUUUUCAGCACUCCUGGUGAUUCUGUAAACCAUCUCCUCUGGCUUGGUAGUACUUCCUUAUCUUUCCUGAUCUUCUCCAUUUCUGGGGAGGAAGAGUCACACUACUGUACAGAACAAUAAUUUUAGUUGCUUUCUUAAACCUCUCAGACCCUUUUGAUAUGAAUGGAACAAUUCUAUUCCUUACUGACACCUUUUUUCUUUCCAUGUGAGAGGUUUGAAAAUGACCCCUUACAGUGUGGAUCUAAUUAUAUUUAUACCUAAAGGGCAUUUGUUCUCAAAUCUACUUGGCGAAAGGGAACAGGAUCGUUUGUUCUUAAACUUAAAUCCCUAUUAAAAAAUUGAAAAUCUCACUGAUGACCCAUAGAGCUUGUCUUAUUGCCAGUUAUAGAGUCACCAGGAAUUUCCAAAUUUAACGACCUUUUUCAUAAUUAAAAUGUAUAGGUUAAAUUGCCCAUUUGCCCAUGGUUAUUUUUCCUGUAGGCAAAUUAAUUUUCUUCUU